GCCGGGGGCACAUGCCUGCCAUUCCCCACGGCGCUCUCAUCCUCCGAUUAUAGGGCGCUUCUGGCACCCCCAGGGGGGCCCUGUGGCUCUGGGACCGGACUCCCUGCUGCUUUAGGGCAAAGCCAGUGGGGACCGGCUGGGCCAGCCACCUGUCUGCCAUCACAUGGACACAGAUGGUGACAGACUGACAUGAUGCAUCCACACGUAAAGAAAAAGAAAAGUCCCCUCCUUCCGGAGCCAGCGCUGUUAAGGAAGGGCUCACCAGGCCUGGUGCUGAUUCAUAUGUGCCAGUCCUGCGGGGAGCUGUGUGCUUCUGGAGAGAGAAGUAGACUCAAUCUCAGGCAGUAAGGCAAGUAACGGGCUCUUCCCGGACUGUGUACCCAGCACCCUGUCGGCCACUGUGUACCUAGCACUCUGCUGGCCACUGGGGGAGAGAGCAAGUGAAAGGGAGACAUCUGUUUUGCCCCCACUGUCCCCUGGGGAAGGUGAGAUGCACAAGAAACCACACCAGGAGUAGGAGUCCUGGCCCGACCGGCCUGUGGACCUCCCAGAGGCUGUGGGAGCAGUCAGUGAGUGGCAUUUGGGAUUAGACCCUAAAUCUGAAAGUCA